CCCUUAGAUGUCCUGGGCCGCACGCGUGCUACACUGACGCAUACAGCGAGUACUUCCCAGCUCCGCGAGGCAGCCGGUAAUCAGCAAUAUGCGUCGUGAUGGGGAUAGAUCUUUGGAAUUGUGGAUCUUGAACGAGGAAUUCCCAGUAAGUGCAAGUCAUAAGCUUGCGCUGACUACGUCCCUGCCCUUUGUACACACCGCCCGUCGCUACUACCGAUUGAAUGAUUUAGUGAGGACUUCGGACUGGGACCGAUGCGGCUUUCGGGCUGCGUCGGUAUUCUGGAAAGAUGUCCAAACUGUAUCAUUUAGAGGAAGUAAAAGUCGUAACA
rnacentral:rRNA from 1 species